GACGAACGCUGGCGGCGUGCUUAACACAUGCAAGUCGAACGGAAAGGCCCUGCUUUUGUGGGGUGCUCGAGUGGCGAACGGGUGAGUAACACGUGAGUAACCUGCCCUUGACUUUGGGAUAACUUCAGGAAACUGGGGCUAAUACCGGAUAGGAGCUCCUGCUGCAUGGUGGGGGUUGGAAAGUUUCGGCGGUUGGGGAUGGACUCGCGGCUUAUCAGCUUGUUGGUGGGGUAGUGGCUUACCAAGGCUUUGACGGGUAGCCGGCCUGAAAGGGUGACCGGCCACAUUGGGACUGAGAUACGGCCCAAACUCCUACGGGAAGCAGCAGUGGGGAAUAUUGCACAAUGGGCGGAAGCCUGAUGCAGCAACGCCGCGUGCGGGAUGACCGCCUUCGGGUUGUAAACCGCUUUCCCCUGUGACCAAACGUGAGUGACCGUAAUGGGUAAAGAAGCACCGGCUAACUACGUGCCCGCAGCCCCGGUGAUACCUAAGGUGCGAGCGUUGUCCGGAUUUAUUGGGCGGAAAAGACUCCUAAGUGGGUGAUCGCGUCCGAAGUGUAAUCUUGGGGCUUAACCCUGAGCGUGCUUUCGAUACGGGUUGACUUGAGGAAGGUAGGGGAGAAUGGAAUUCCUGGUGGAGCGGUGGAAUGCGCAGAUAUCAGGAGGAACACCAGUGGCGAAGGCGGUUCUCUGGGCCUUUCCUGACGCUGAGGAGCGAAAGCGUGGGGAGCGAACAGGCUUAGAUACCCUGGUAGUCCCCGCUGUAAACGGUGGGUACUAGGUGUGGGGUCCAUUCCACGGGUUCCGUGCCGUAGCUAACGCUUUAAGUACCCCGCCUGGGGAGUACGGCCGCAAGGCUAAAACUCAAAGGAAUUGACGGGGCCCCGCACAAGCGGCGGAGCAUGCGGAUUAAUUCGAUGCAACGCGUAGAACCUUACCUGGGUUUGACAUGGAUCGGGAGUGCUCAGAGAUGGGUGUGCCUCUUUUGGGGUGGGUUCACAGGUGGUGCAUGGCUGUCGUCAGCUCGUUGUCGUGAGAUGUUGGGUUAAGUCCCGCAACGAGCGCAACCCUUGUUUCCUGUUGCCACCACGUUAUGGUGGGGACUCAGUGGAGACCGCCGGGGUCAACUCGGAGGAAAGGGGGGAUGACGUCAAGUCAUCAUGCCCCUUAUGUCCAGGGCUUCACGCAUGCUACAAUGGCUGGUACAGAGAGGGGCGAGCCUGUGAGGGUGAGCGAAUCUCGGAAAGCCGGUCUCAGUUCGGAUUGGGGUCUGCAACUCGACCUCAUGAAGUCGGAGUCGCUAGUAAUCGCAGAUCAGCAACGCUGCGGUGAAUACGUUCCCGGG
rnacentral:rRNA from 1 species